GUAACGCGUGGGAGCAUGCCCUCCGGUUCGGAAUAGCUCAGGGAAACUUGGAUUAAUACCGGAUACGGCUGAGAGGCGAAAGAUUUAUCGCCGGAGGAUUGGCCCGCGUUCGAUUAGCUUGUUGGUGAGGUAACGGCUCACCAAGGCGACGAUCGAUAGCUGGUCUGAGAGGAUGAUCAGCCACAUUGGGACUGAGACACGGCCCAAACUCCUACGGGAGGCAGCAGUGGGGAAUAUUGGACAAUGGGCGCAAGCCUGAUCCAGCCAUGCCGCGUGAGUGAUGACGGCCUUAGGGUUGUAAAGCUCUUUCGCUCGGGACGAUAAUGACGGUACCGAGAUAAGAAGCCCCGCUAACUUCGUGCCAGCAGCCGCGGUAAUACGAAGGGGGCUAGCGUUGUUCGGAAUUACUGGGCGUAAAGCGCGUGUAGGCGGGUCUUUAAGUCAGGGGUGAAAUGCCAGGGCUCAACCUUGGAACUGCCUUUGAUACUGGAGAUCUUGAGUCCGGGAGAGGUGAGUGGAAUUGCGAGUGUAGAGGUGAAAUUCGUAGAUAUUCGCAAGAACACCAGUGGCGAAGGCGGCUCACUGGCCCGGAACUGACGCUGAGACGCGAAAGCGUGGGGAGCAAACAGGAUUAGAUACCCUGGUAGUCCACGCUGUAAACGAUGGAUGCUAGCCGUUGGGGAGCUUGCUCUUCAGUGGCGCAGCUAACGCUUUAAGCAUCCCGCCUGGGGAGUACGGUCGCAAGA
rnacentral:rRNA from 1 species